rnacentral:rRNA from 1 species
UGGGAGGUCACGGGAUACGGCCUCGUUUCGGCGGGGUCCUCGUGGCCGCCAGUGAAAUACCACUACUCUCAUCGUUUCUUUACUUACUCGGUGGAGCGGGAAGCGGACCAAUGAGUUGUCCACGCUUCUAGCGCCAAGCGAUGGGCCCCCGGUCUCCCUUCGGGGUUGUGCCGGUCGGGCCUGCGCGACCUGUUCCGAGGACAGUGUCAGGCGGGGAGUUUGACUGGGGCGGUACAUCUGUCAAACGGUAACGCAGGUGUCCUAAGGCGAGCUCAGCGAGGACAGAAACCUCGCGUAGAGCAAAAGGGCAAAUGCUUGCUUGAUCUUGAAUUUCAGUACGAUUCGAGACCGCGAAAGCGGGGCCCCUCGAUCCUUUUGGCUUUAAGAGUUUUAAGCAAGAGGUGUCAGAAAAGUUACCACAGGGAUAACUGAGCUUGUGGCA